rnacentral:rRNA from 1 species
AUCGAACGCUGGCGGCAUGCUUUACACAUGCAAGUCGAACGGUAACAGGGUGCUUGCACCGCUGACGAGUGGCGAACGGGUGAGUAAUGCGUCGGAACGUGCCGAGUAGUGGGGGAUAACGCAGCGAAAGUUGUGCUAAUACCGCAUACGUACUGAGGUAGAAAGUGGGGGACCUUCGGGCCUCACGUUAUUCGAGCGGCCGACGUCUGAUUAGCUAGUAGGUGAGGUAAAGGCUCACCUAGGCGACGAUCAGUAGCGGGUCUGAGAGGAUGAUCCGCCACGCUGGGACUGAGACACGGCCCAGACUCCUACGGGAGGCAGCAGUGGGGAAUUUUGGACAAUGGGCGAAAGCCUGAUCCAGCCAUGCCGCGUGUCUGAAGAAGGCCUUCGGGUUGUAAAGGACUUUUGUCAGGGAGGAAAUCCCUAGUGCUAAUAACACUGGGGGAUGACAGUACCUGAAGAAUAAGCACCGGCUAACUACGUGCCAGCAGCCGCCGUAA